UAUGAUGACGAAGCAGUGACGCAGAAAGGUAGAGCGAGCGGCCAGUUGGUGAGCCGUUCAAGUGAGUAGGGUGUUGCGUAGGCAAAUCCGCGCAACGUGAGCCUGAGACACGAUGACGAGUGAAAAAUAGUAACGAAGUCCUUGAUCCUCCGCCGCCAAGAAAAGCUGCUAAGGAAUAUAGAGGUGCCCGUACCGCAAACCGACACAGGUAGACAGGUAGAGAAUACUAAGGCGCGCGAGAUAACUCUUGUUAAGGAACUCUGCAAAAUGAACCCGUAACUUCGGGAGAAGGGUUGCUCUCUAGCGUGAGUAUGAGCAAUACAGAGCGCAGGAGAGUCGCAGUGAAAAGGUCCAGGCGACUGUUUAGCAAAAACACAGGUCAUUGCAAAAUCGCAAGAUGAAGUAUAAUGGCUGACGCCUGCCCGGUGCUGGAAGGUUAAGGGGAAGAGUGCAAGCUUUGAACCGAAGCCCCAGUAAACGGCGGCCGUAACGAUAACGGUCCUAAGGUAGCGAAAUUCCUUGUCGGGUAAGUUCCGACCCGCACGAAAGGCGAAACGAUCUGGACGCUGUCUCAACAAGGGACUCGGUGAAAUUGAAAUUCCGGUAAAGAUGCCGGAUACCUGCGAUAGGACAGAAAGACCCCAUGGAGCUUUACUGUAGCCUGAUAUUGGGUUUCGGAUAUUCAUGUACAGGAUAGGUGGGAGACUAAGAAGCAUGGACGCCAGUUUGUGCGGAGUCACUGGUGGGAUACCACCCUUAAAUGUUUGGAAUUCUAACGAGGAGUCUUGAAGCAGAUUAUUGGACAGUGUCAGGUGGCAGUUUGACUGGGGCGGUCGCCUCCCAAAAGGUAUCGGAGGCGCUCAAAGGUUCCCUCAGAACGGAUGGAAAUCGUUCGCAGAGUGCAAAGGCAGAAGGGAGCUUGACUGCGAGAGCCACAACUCGAGCAGAUAGGAAACUAGGACUUAGUGAUCCGGCGGUCGCGAGUGGAAGUGCCGUCGCUCAACGGAUAAAAGCUACCCUGGGGAUAACAGGCUUAUCUCCCCCAAGAGUUCACAUCGACGGGGAGGUUUGGCACCUCGAUGUCGGCUCAUCGCAUCCUGGCUGAAGUAGGUCCCAAGGGUUGGGCUGUUCGCCCAUUAAAGCGGUACGCGAGCUGGGUUCAGAACGUCGUGAGACAGUUCGGUCCCUAUCCAUCGCGGGCGUAGGAAAUUUGAAGGGAGCUGACCCUAGUACGAGAGGACCGGGUUGGACAGACCGCUGGUGAACCAGUUGUUCUGCCAAGAGCAUAGCUGGGUAGCUAAGUCUGGAAAAGAUAAACGCUGAAAGCAUCUAAGCGUGAAGCGAACCUUAAGAUGAGAUUUCCCCCAACGAAAGUUGAUAAGACACCAGAGAGAAUAACUGGUAGAUAGGUCAGGAGUGUAAGUGUGGUGACACAUUGAGCGGACUGAUACUAAUAAGUCGAAGACUUAGCCG
rnacentral:rRNA from 1 species